rnacentral:lncRNA from 1 species
UAAUUUUUUCAGUUCAGCGCUCAGUAGAUUCCAGUUUUCAUUUGAACAACGGCUUGAUAUAGAUUCCAGGAACUGCUCACUGAACAAUGACAGUUCACUAACCAUUCCUUCAAUAUUCGCCCGUGCGUUGCGUUGUCAAGACAAGAUCUAGGACCGACUCGCCACGUGUCGGAGCAGAAACAAUCUGUGACAAACUGAACUGAGAUAUCAAACAAAGGAAUUCUUUACAUUCA